rnacentral:rRNA from 1 species
UACAGAGGGUGCGAGCGUUAAUCGGAAUUACUGGGCGUAAAGCGCACGUAGGUGGCGACGUAAGUCGGGUGUGAAAGCCCCGGGCUCAACCUGGGAAUUGCAUUCGAGACUGCAUUGCUGGAGUACGGGAGAGGAAGGCGGAAUUCCCGGUGUAGCGGUGAAAUGCGUAGAUAUCGGGAGGAACAUCAGUGGCGAAGGCGGCCUUCUGGUCCAGUACUGACACUCAAGUGCGAAAGCGUGGGGAGCAAACAGG